rnacentral:rRNA from 1 species
UACGGGGGGUGCGAGCGUUGUCCGGAAUCACUGGGCGUAAAGGGCGCGUAGGCGGUCUGAUAAGGGUGUGGUGAAAGCCCGGGGCUCAACCCCGGGUCGGCCGUGCCGACUGUAAGACUAGAGUGCUGUAGGGGCAGGCGGAAUUCCGGGUGUAGCGGUGGAAUGCGUAGAGAUCCGGAGGAAGACCGGUGGCGAAGGCGGCCUGCUGGGCAGUUACUGACACUGAGGCGCGACAGCGUGGGGAGCAAACAGG